UACGAAGGGGACUAGCGUUGUUCGGAAUUACUGGGCGUAAAGCGCACGUAGGCGGAUUUGUAAGUCAGGGGUGAAAUCCCGGGGCUCAACCUCGGAACUGCCUUUGAUACUGCAAAUCUCGAGUCCGAUAGAGGUGGGUGGAAUUCCUAGUGUAGAGGUGAAAUUCGUAGAUAUUCGGAAGAACACCAGUGGCGAAGGCGACUUACUGGACACAUAUUGACGCUGAGGUGCGAAAGCGUGGGGAGCAAACAGG
rnacentral:rRNA from 1 species